GAUGAACGCUGGCGGCGUGCCUAAUACAUGCAAGUCGAGCGAACGGACGAGAAGCUUGCUUCUCUGAUGUUAGCGGCGGACGGGUGAGUAACACGUGGAUAACCUACCUAUAAGACUGGGAUAACUUCGGGAAACCGUAGCUAAUACCGGAUAAUAUUUUGAACCGCAUGGUUCAAAAGUGAAAGACGGUCUUGCUGUCACUUAUAUAUGGAUCCGCGCUGCAUUAGCUAGUUGGUAAGGUAACGGCUUACCAAGGCAACGAUGCAUAGCCGACCUGAGAGGGUGGUCGGCCACACUGGAACUGAGACACGGUCCAGACUCCUCCGGGAGGCAGCAGUCGGGAAUAUUCAGGAAAGGGCGAAAGCCUGAAGGAGCAAUGCCGCGUGAGGAAAGAAGGUCUUGGGAUCGUAAAACUCUGUGAGAGGAGAAGAACAAAAGGGGACGUAAAAGGCGACAUCAUGACGGUACCUGAACAAGAAGCAAGGGCUAACUGCGUG
rnacentral:rRNA from 1 species